rnacentral:lncRNA from 1 species
UUUAUUUUUUCUGAUAAUUAUAGUAUAUAAAAAAUCUUUAUUCCGAAUUGAUUUGAUUUCCUUUUGAACGUUUUAGUUUCCUAGUUUUGAAAAUAGGAAUAGAAUCACUUUUAUUAGGAAAUAGGAGCUGGCCCAAUUAAGACCCUUCCCUCUUUUGGCCCAGGAAGAUCAUCUCCUACCUCCAUCUCACCCUCACGUCACACAGAAACCUUCCAUCCAUGGAGAGGAGAUCCCCACCUUCAGGAUUUGCGAAGCCCUUUCCCUCCUAGCCUCUCCCGUCGCCUCUAUAAGAAGCCC